AAGGAGGGUGAGGUGAUUCAUGGUUGCCACGGUUUCUGGGGUGUUGAGUGACAGCUCUGAGUCCUGCAGUGUUGAACUCAGAGGACUUUAAACCCUCUCAGAACCCCAGUUUCAGCUGAGCAUGCAAAGCUUCCUCUAUAUGGAAAUGACCUGUUUCCACUCAUCAGACGGGGGGUGAGAGUGACUGCAGACGUUCUGGGAGGACCGUUGUACCUCCUCUACAUUCACACCAUUGGAAUACAAAUUCAGAUUUAAUGGAAACUAUUGGAAUUUAUAAUGUGUAACAUUUUAUCUGGUUGAGGUCGAUCUUGGUUUGUAUGACAUCCUUUGAAUCUCUAAUUUAGAUUUAUUAUUACCUAAAACCAGAAUAAUAGAUAAAAAGAUAUUGUUCUGUUUAAAAUAAAUGCAUGAUUAUAACAUUGGCUUGAAGGUUUUUUAUUCAGUUACCUUAUUAGACAUGUGUUAAAAGUUAAAACAAUAAACCUUUUUUAAUUUUGCGUUUAAAAAUGUUAUGAAAAUAAAUGUAAAUAAAUCUAUUUCACUAAAUCUAUUUAAACAAUUAAUGUAUAUUGAUUAUAAUAAUACAGUGAAAUAAAUAUCGACUAAUUCAUCCAUUCUAGUGAGAAGCCAGUGUUUGUGUGUCAGUGAGAUGAGUCUUUAAUAUGCGGGAGGUUUUUGUACAGCCUCUUAAUGAGUUUGUAUCACUGUGGCACACUUUUGGUGGAGGCACCAAACUCAUCGUUGACUUGGGAGUGGUGCAGCCCACGCUGAGCGUCCUCCCUCCCUCCAGAGUGGAGCUGGAGCAGGGCAGUGCUACACUAGUGUGUGUGGCCAGUGGGGGCUUCCCCUCAGACUGGAAGCUUGGCUGGAAGGUGGGGGGCAGCAGCAGGUCUGGGGGGGUGUCCGAUAGCCUGGGGGUCCUGGGGAACGAUGGCCACUACAGCUGGAGCAGCACCUUGAACCUCCCUGCAGACCAGUGGAGGAAGGCGGGCUCAGUGAGCUGUGAGGCCAGUAAGAAUGGCCAGACACAGCCUGUCACUCAAACCCUGAAUCCUGACCAGUGUUCAGAGUAGAGAGGCUCCAGCAUGGAAGAACUGGAGGAUACAGAUCUCCUCUGACACGUCUGCUUUAUGUCUCUCUGUCUGAGGUGGCACUGCAGCUUUUGGAUGAAUUACAUUAAUAUAACUCGUGUUUGAUUCAUUGACAUUAUGCUCUCUGAUUUUAUCCCCUUGCUUUGUCACAUGUUGAAUCAAAUAAAAAAGCAAA